GAUGAACGCUAGCUACAGGCUUAACACAUGCAAGUCGAGGGGGAACGACAUCGAAAGCUUGCUUUUGAUGGGCGUCGACCGGCGCACGGGUGAGUAACGCGUAUCCAACCUGCCCAUCACUUGGGGAUAACCUUGCGAAAGUAAGACUAAUACCCAAUGAUAUCUCUAGAAGACAUCUGAAAGAGAUUAAAGAUUUAUCGGUGAUGGAUGGGGAUGCGUCUGAUUAGCUUGUUGGCGGGGUAACGGCCCACCAAGGCAACGAUCAGUAGGGGUUCUGAGAGGAAGGUCCCCCACAUUGGAACUGAGACACGGUCCAAACUCCUACGGGAGGCAGCAGUGAGGAAUAUUGGUCAAUGGGCGAGAGCCUGAACCAGCCAAGUAGCGUGCAGGAAGACGGCCCUAUGGGUUGUAAACUGCUUUUAUAAGGGAAUAAAGUGAGAGUCGUGACUCUUUUUGUAUGUACCUUAUGAAUAAGGACCGGCUAAUUCCGUG
rnacentral:rRNA from 1 species